UACGAAGGGGGCUAGCGUUGCUCGGAAUCACUGGGCGUAAAGGGUGCGUAGGCGGUUUUAAGUCAGGGGUGAAAUCCUGGAGCUCAACUCCAGAACUGCCUUUGAUACUGAAAAUCUUGAGUCCGGGAGAGGUGAGUGGAACUGCGAGUGUAGAGGUGAAAUUCGUAGAUAUUCGCAAGAACACCAGUGGCGAAGGCGGCUCACUGGCCCGGUACUGACGCUGAGGCACGAAAGCGUGGGGAGCAAACAGG
rnacentral:rRNA from 1 species